GAUCCUGGCUCAGGAUGAACGCUAGCGGCAGGCCUAAUACAUGCAAGGCGAAGGGGCAGCAAUGUCACUGUCGUACGGGUGCGUAACGCGUAUGCAACCUACCUAUCACAGGGGAAUAGCCUUUGGAAACAGGGAUUAAUACCGCAUAAAGCAGGGACACCGCAUGGUGAUAUUGCUAAAGAUUUAUCGGUGAUAGAUGGGCAUGCGUCUGAUUAGUUAGUUGGCAGGGUAACGGCCUACCAAGACGAUGAUCAGUAGGGGGCGUCAGAGCGUGGUCCCCCACACUGGCACUGAGAUACGGGCCAGACUCCUACGGGAGGCAGCAGUAGGGAAUAUUGGGCAAUGGAUGCAAGUCUGACCCAGCCAUGCCGCGUGCAGGAAGAAGGUCCUCUGGAUUGUAAACUGCUUUUAUCGGGGAAGAAUAGUUUUCUUGCGAGGGAAUGUGACGGUACCCGAUGAAUAAGCCACGGCUAACUACGUG
rnacentral:rRNA from 1 species